UAAGUAGCUAGUGAAAUCUGGUGGCUCAACCAUUCAGACUAUUAGCUAAACUGACUAGCUCGAGAGCGUUAGGGGUAGCUGGAAUUUCUAGUGUAGGAGUGAAAUCCGUAGAUAUUAGAAAGAACACCGAUAGCGUAGGCAGGCUACUGGGACGUUUCUGACACUAAGGCACGAAAGCGUGGGGAGCAAACGGGAUUAGAUACCCCGGUAGUCCACGCUGUAAACGAUGGAUGCUA
rnacentral:rRNA from 1 species